rnacentral:rRNA from 1 species
UGCCGCGUGAGUGAAGAAGGCCUUCGGGUUGUAAAGCUCUUUUGUCAGGGAAGAAACGGGUGAGGUUAAUACCUUUGCCUAAUGACGGUACCUGAACAAUAAGCACCGGCUAACUACGUGCCAUCAGCCGCGGUAAUACUUAGGGUGCAAGCGUUAAUCGGAAUUACUGGGCGUAAAGCGUGCGCAGGCGGUUAUACCAGACAGAUGUGAAAUCCCCGGGCUCAACCUGGGAAUUGCAUUUGUGACUGUAUGGCUUGAGUGUGUCAAAGGGGGGUAGAAUUCCACGUGUAGCAAUGAAAUGCGUAAAUGUGUGGAGGAAUACCGAUGGCGAAGGCAGCCCCCUGGGAUAACACUGACGCUCAUGCUCGAAAGCGUGGGGAGCAAACAGGAUUAGAUACCCUGGUAGUCCACGCCCUAAACGAUGUCUACUAGUUGUCGGGUCUUAAUUGACUUGGUAACGCAGCUGACGCGUGAAGUAGACCGCCUGGGGAGUACGGUCGCAAGAUUAAAACUCAAAGGAAUUGACGGGGACCCGCACAAGCGGUGGAUGAUGUGGAUUAAUUCCAUGCAACGCGAAAAACCUUACCUACCCUUGACAUGUACGGAAUCCUGAAGAGAUUU